rnacentral:rRNA from 1 species
GACAGCCAGGAUGUUGGCUUAGAAGCAGCCAUCAUUUAAAGAAAGCGUAAUAGCUCACUGGUCGAGUCGGCCUGCGCGGAAGAUGUAACGGGGCUAAACCAUGCACCGAAGCUGCGGCAGCGACACUCAGGUGUUGUUGGGUAGAGGAGCGUUCUGUAAGCCUGUGAAGGUGGCCUGUGAGGGUUGCUGGAGGUGUCAGAACUGCGCAUGCUGACAUAAGUAACGAUAAACAGGGUCAAAAG